UACGUAGGGGGCUAGCGUUGUCCGGAAUCAUUGGGCGUAAAGAGCGUGUAGGCGGCCCGGUAAGUCCGCUGUGAAAGUCGGGGGCUCAACCCUCGAAUGCCGGUGGAUACUGUCGGGCUAGAGUGCGGAAGAGGCGAGUGGAAUUCCUGGUGUAGCGGUGAAAUGCGCAGAUAUCAGGAGGAACACCAAUAGCGAAGGCAGCUCGCUGGGACGGUAUUGACGCUAAGGCGCGAAAGCGUGGGGAGCAAACAGG
rnacentral:rRNA from 1 species